GUGGGGAAUAUUGGACAAUGGGCGAAAGCCUGAUCCAGCCAUGCCGCGUGUGUGAAGAAGGUCUUCGGAUUGUAAAGCACUUUAAGUUGGGAGGAAGGGCAGUAAGUUAAUACCUUGCUGUUUUGACGUUACCGACAGAAUAAGCACCGGCUAACUUCGUGCCAGCAGCCGCGGUAAUACAGAGGGUGCAAGCGUUAAUCGGAAUUACUGGGCGUAAAGCGCGCGUAGGUGGUUCGUUAAGUUGGAUGUGAAAGCCCCGGGCUCAACCUGGGAACUGCAUCCAAAACUGGCGAGCUAGAGUACGGUAGAGGGUGGUGGAAUUUCCUGUGUAGCGGUGAAAUGCGUAGAUAUAGGAAGGAACACCAGUGGCGAAGGCGACCACCUGGACUGAUACUGACACUGAGGUGCGAAAGCGUGGGGAGCAAACAGGAUUAGAAACCCGAGUAGUCC
rnacentral:rRNA from 1 species